ACGGAAGGCAGCAGUGAGGAAUAUUGGUCAAUGGACGGAAGUCUGAACCAGCCAUGCCGCGUGAAGGAAUAAGGCCCUAUGGGUCGUAAACUUCUUUUGUGGUGGAGCAAUAAGGUGCACGUGUGCAUCGAUGAGAGUACAUCACGAAUAAGCAUCGGCUAACUCCGUGCCAGCAGCCGCGGUAAUACGGAGGAUGCGAGCGUUAUCCGGAUUUAUUGGGUUUAAAGGGUGCGUAGGCUGUUCUUCAAGUCAGAGGUGAAAUACCGGGGCUCAACCCUGGAACUGCCUUUGAUACUGGAGGGCUUGAAUACUGUUGCCGUGGGAGGAAUGAGUAGUGUAGCGGUGAAAUGCAUAGAUAUUACUCAGAACACCGAUUGCGAAGGCAUCUCACGAAGCAGCGAUUGACGCUGAGGCGCGAAAGCGUGGGGAUCGAACAGGAUUAGAUACCCUGGUA
rnacentral:rRNA from 1 species